UGGAUCAAUGAUGACCACUGGUGGCAUAUGAGUCAUGGAUGAUGACUGCAGGUCUGGAUAUCUGAGGUCCAA
ensembl:snoRNA